rnacentral:misc_RNA from 1 species
UUAAGUUCAGCGGGUAUCCCUACCUGAUCCGAGGUCAACCUGAAAAAUUCGUUGGUUGAGACCGAGGCCGGAGACCAUCCAGACGCGUGCUGGAAGCUCGCUGCAUCCAGGGUCCCGCGGACUCGGCCAUUAUCUUUUGGAUCCACCAUAUCUCUCAACGGUGAGACCCAACAGCAAGCCGGGCUUGAGGGUUGAUAAUG